UGUUAAAAAUUUCAUUUAUUUCUAUUGUUAAAAAUCGGCAUGGCUGAAGGAAUAAUUAGACAUGCUGUGCUAUGUGUACCUCAUGCUGACAUACAUGGAUCAAUUUUUAAUAGUAGAAACAGAUGAAAGUUUUAACU
rfam:Gossypium hirsutum cultivar TM-1 unplaced genomic scaffold scaffold165.1, whole genome shotgun sequence